UACGUAGGGGGCAAGCGUUGUUCGGAAUCACUGGGCGUAAAGCGCGUGUAGGCGGUCCGGUAAGUCCGCUGUGAAAGUCGGGGGCUCAACCCUCGGAUGCCGGUGGAUACUGUCGGGCUUGAGUACGGAAGAGGCGAGUGGAAUUCCUGGUGUAGCGGUGAAAUGCGCAGAUAUCAGGAGGAACACCAAUUGCGAAGGCAGCUCGCUGGGACGUUACUGACGCUGAGACGCGAAAGCGUGGGGAGCAAACAGG
rnacentral:rRNA from 1 species